rnacentral:rRNA from 1 species
AUUGAACGCUGGCGGCAUGCCUUACACAUGCAAGUCGAACGGUAACGGGCCUUCGGGUGCCGACGAGUGGCGAACGGGUGAGUAAUGCAUCGGAACGUACCUUUCAGUGGGGGAUAACGUAGCGAAAGUUACGCUAAUACCGCAUAUUCUGUGAGCAGGAAAGCAGGGGAUCGCAAGACCUUGCGCUGAUUGAGCGGCCGAUGUCAGAUUAGCUAGUUGGUGAGGUAAAGGCUCACCAAGGCGACGAUCUGUAGCGGGUCUGAGAGGAUGAUCCGCCACACUGGAACUGAGACACGGUCCAGACUCCUACGGGAGGCAGCAGUGGGGAAUUUUGGACAAUGGGGGCAACCCUGAUCCAGCCAUGCCGCGUGAGUGAAGAAGGC